GACGAAGGAUGCAAGCGUUAUCCGGAUUCAUUGGGCUUAAAGGGUGCGUAGGCGGACCUGUAAGUCAGUGGUGAAAUCUCUCAGCUUAACUGAGAAACUGCCAUUGAUACUGCAAGUCUAGAGUAUAGAUGACGUUGGCGGAAUAUGACAUGUAGUGGUGAAAUACUUAGAUAUGUCAUAGAACACCGAUUGCGAAGGCAGCUAACGAAACUAUAACUGACGCUGAGGCACGAAAGUGCGGGGAUCAAACAGG
rnacentral:rRNA from 1 species